GACGAACGCUGGCGGCGUGCCUAAUACAUGCAAGUUGAGCGCUGAAGGUUGGUACUUGUACCAACUGGAUGAGCAGCGAACGGGUGAGUAACGCGUGGGGAAUCUGCCUUUGAGCGGGGGACAACAUUUGGAAACGAAUGCUAAUACCGCAUAAAAACUUUAAACACAAGUUUUAAGUUUGAAAGAUGCAAUUGCAUCACUCAAAGAUGAUCCCGCGUUGUAUUAGCUAGUUGGUGAGGUAAAGGCUCACCAAGGCGAUGAUACAUAGCCGACCUGAGAGGGUGAUCGGCCACAGUGGGACUGAGACACGGCCCAAACUCCUACGGGAGGCAGCAGUAGGGAAUCUUCGGCAAUGGACGAAAGUCUGACCGAGCAACGCCGCGUGAGUGAAGAAGGGUUUCGGAUCGUAAAAAUCUGUUGGUAGAGAAGAACGUUGGUGAGAGUGGAAAGCUCAUCAAGUGACGGUAACUACCCAGAAAGGGACGGCUAACUACGUG
rnacentral:rRNA from 1 species